AAAUAUUUUGUUUUUCAGUUUAACUCAUGGAUGGCAUUGUGUCUCAGGGCUCUUUUGAUCACUGAAAACAAUCUCUGACACCUGUGAUAAUUAGAUUGCAAGGUGAGCCCAAUUUAAGGAAAAACUACUAAAGGAGGAUGUUCCACAUUAUUAAGCAGAGCACCAUUUUCAUGCAAUAUGGGGAAGAAAAAGGAUCUCUCUGCUGCUGAAAAGAGUGAAAUAGUUCAAUGCAUUGGGCAAAGGAAUGAAAACAUUAGAUAUUUCACAAAAACUUAAGCGUGAUCAUCGCACUAUUAAGAGAUUUGUGGCUGAUUCAGGGCACAUUGAGGAAGAUUUCUGCCAGAUCCAUGCAUCAGAUCAAGAUAGCAGCUGCUAAAAUACCAUUACAUAGCAGCAAAUAGAUAUUUGAAGCUGCUGGUGCCUCUGGAGUCCCACGGACAUCAAGGAGUAGAGUCCUCUAGAG